rnacentral:rRNA from 1 species
CCAAUAGCGUAUAUUAAAGUUGUUGCAGUUAAAAAGCUCGUAGUUGAAUUUCGGGAUCAAUUUAUCGGUCGUGCAAUAGUACGUACUGGUUUUAUUGGUUCCUACCUUCUGAUGAACCAUGAUGCCAUUAAUUUGGUGUCAUGGGGAAUCAGGACUGUUACUUUGAAAAAAUUAGAGUGUUUAAAGCAGGCUCACGCUUGAAUACAUUAGCAUGGAAUAA